rnacentral:sRNA from 1 species
UGUUUCAAUGGCCAGUUAGAUAGCAAUUCAUGGAUCAUCUCAAUUACAUUCAACAUUAAUGUAUAUAUUGAUUCUUACUAAUAAAUUAGUGUUUUCUUGAAAUUGAAGAGUCACAAUUGAAACCCUAAAUAAUUAAUUCUAAAUAUAUUCAGGAUAGAUUAUUACUAUUCAAAUUCAGUCUGGGAACUGGAAACACACUAUUGAUUUAUGUUGGUAUAAGUACGUUACUUGUCUGUGCUUUUUACAGAAACUGCAAUUUUGCUUUUUAGCAUUUGCUGUAUUUAUGUGAAUUCUUUAAUACAAACCUGUUAAUUAUUUCAUUUUGCAACAAAACAAUUAAAAAUUCCAUGUACUUUUUAAUGAAUGAAGAAAUUGUGAAAAUGUACAUCCUAGUGGCAUUAGUUUGAAGAAAACAAAUAUAUUUUGUUCCAUCCAUAGGACUUGUAUGAUAUGUUAAAGGAAACAUUGGUUCAUGAAUGAUUAUACACUACCUCACAUUCUAUCUAAAUUUGACCAGACUUUAUGUUUCAAAAAGAAUUGAUGAUCCUCGUGUAUCAAGCAUUGUGGCUGCUGAUGUUAAAAUAAAACAUUUAGGAGAUAAUGCUUUCUGAAAUCUAGAUUGGUGACUGUCAUGUAUCAUUUCAAGAACAGGGACCACUUGGAACCCUGUUCUUUUCCACACAGAAUAAAAAUGUUUGUCAUAACUAUGAA